AAAGUCAUAACAAGGUUUCCGUAGGUGAACCUGCGGAAGGAUCAUUAUUGAAUUUGAUCUUCGGAUCUCAUACAUAAUAACACACUGUGAACCGUGGCUUCGGCCCAAACUUGAAGUCUAGAAUGUAAUAUAUCAUAACAAAAUACAACUUUUAACAACGGAUCUCUUGGCUCUC
rnacentral:misc_RNA from 1 species